UACAGAGGUCCCGAGCGUUGUUCGGAUUCACUGGGCGUAAAGCGUGCGCAGGCGGUUUUGUAAGCCGGAUGUGAAAUCCCCGGGCUUAACCUGGGAAUGGCAUUCGGGACUGCAAGGCUGGAGUGCGGCAGAGGAGACUGGAAUUCCUGGUGUAGCAGUGAAAUGCGUAGAUAUCAGGAGGAAUACCGAUGGCGAAGGCAGGUCUCUGGGCCAGUAUUGACGCUGAGGAGCGAAAGCGUGGGUAGCAAACAGG
rnacentral:rRNA from 1 species